rnacentral:rRNA from 1 species
AUACGUAGGGGGCGAGCGUUGUCCGGAAUGACUGGGCGUAAAGGGCGUGUAGGCGGCCGACUAAGUCUGGAGUGAAAGUCCUGUUUUCAAGGUGGGAAUAGCUUUGGAUACUGGUUGGCUUGAGUGCGGAAGAGGUAAGUGGAAUUCCCAGUGUAGCGGUGAAAUGCGUAGAGAUUGGGAGGAACACCAGUGGCGAAGGCGACUUACUGGGCCGUAACUGACGCUGAGGCGCGAAAGCGUGGGGAGCGAACAGGAUUAGAUACCCUGGUAGUCCACGCUGUAGACGAUGAAUGCUAGGUGUAGGGGGUAUCGACCCCUCCUGUGCCGGAGUAAACGCAAUAAGCAUUCCGCCUGGGGAGUACGGCCGCAAGGUUGAAACUCAAAUGAAUUGACGGGG